rnacentral:lncRNA from 1 species
ACUUCUCAUUUCCCCAAUCUCAACUCAAGCAGAUCGUGUUUUUCUCCCACUCCCAUCUCCGGCGAUUCCUACUUCGAUUUCUGACGAGCAACCAGCGGCGCGUCUGUACCGGCGAGCGGCGACCAGCGGCUAGUUAACACUCCAGUCCGGCAACAAAAGCUAGCGUCUAGUUCAUACUCGAUUCCUACUUUUGGGUAAUUUCUCCCACAACCAGCGGCACGUCUGUACCGGCUUUCUAUUUUUUCUGGUGGCUUCCUAUUUUUUUCUUAGCAUAGAUUGAAUUUCUUUAUUUUCUGACUUCGUUAAAAGUGAGAUCAAAGAAAUUCAUUGUCCAACUUGCAAACCUUUUUGGUUCUUUCAUUGAGUUAUUCCUAACUUGCUAACCCUUGUAGUUCUUUCAUCGAGUUAUUCCCAACUUGCUACUUUGGACCCCAACUGAUGAAGAAUUCUCCAUCGUGAAGCAGUUGUGCGAGUUUGUAUGCAUAUUGAAGUUUCCUAAGGUGGCAAAUUUUGAGAAACUACCUUAUCCAUUCUUCAUUAAAAUAAAUGGAAAAUAACAUUUGCAUAAUUGCAUAAUUAGCAGAACCCCACAGAUUGUAUAAUUGCAUAAAUGGAAAAUAACAUUUGAUUUAAUUAGCAGAACCCCACAGAUGAGAAUAAAUGUUCUGUAACAUUUUUUUUAUUUUCUGAAUUAUUUAUUAGCAAAUCUAUGGAUUUGAUUUUAAAUAUUACUCUUUAAAGGAUGCUUGACAUAAGAAACUUCAAGUAUCCUUCCAACACUUUGAUGUGAUCACAAUUUUCCAUCUAGAAAGAUGGUAGAUAAGAUUUUUGCCGAUUUAUUGAUAGAGAACUCGAAACAGUCUUAUCAAUUAGGGGAUUCAUUUUUGCAUUUGAUAAAAUCUAAAUUAUUUGCUUUCAAAAAAAAAUCUGAAUUCUUAAACAAUGACCAACUUAUUAAUUAUGUUUUUAUUUUAUAAAAUAGAUGUUUUAUAUAAAUCAUUUACUGGUUUACCGAUAUUUGAUUACAUAUAUGAUAUAUCUGAUCACAAAUAUAUCUGAUUACUCCAGUCCGGCCACUCCAGUUCGGCAACUUCCAGUCCUUUGGUAACACUCCAGUCCGGCAACUUCCAG